rnacentral:lncRNA from 1 species
UAAACAAAAAUAUCUCAUAUAUUAAACCAGAUAUGUUGCAUUACAAAGAUCACGAUCCAAAGAUUACAUGAUGUGAAACUAUCUAGUAGUAGCCCAAUUCCCGAGCUUGCAAUCAACUAUAAUGUUUGAAACAUUGAUCAAUACAAUGACAUUCUAUUUAUCUUGUAGUAGCCUCUUUCAUAACCUUGCAACCAAAACUUGGGCCAUGUAUCAUCAGUUUAUCUUGGCAAUCUACAACAAUAAUAAAGCGAGUAACUUAGGGAAAAUCAGGUUAAUAGAGAAGUCGAAUUUGAAGGAGGAGCACCAUAGAGUGGUUGAAGGCCAUGCCAUUAGUAGCACUAUACGCUGUAAAGGAAAGUACUACCCUACAUGUGACAAAAACAUUUGGUCAUUGUUUUCUUAUGAACAAACCUGCUAUAUGUCAGUUGAGUUACCAUAAAAAGAAAAUACUAAUUAGUAAGAAACAAGGUACAUGCCAUAAAUAAAAUAAAUAUCAUGUGCUGACAUACAGGAAACAAGUUUAAACUAAUGAGAACUUGCAUAAAUCAUAGAAAAACUGAUCAAAUUACUCUACUGAAAAGUACAAUGACAAAAAAUCCAUUUCAAGAUUCUAUUCCACAAGAAGUUCACUAGCAUAUUUAUGCUCCACAUGGUCAAAAGAAAACUAAACAAGUAGAGAUGCUUAAGUUAGUGAAUCGUAACAGCAAAAUAAAAAAAUGGCCACUGCUAAUGCUUUCAUACAGCAUAGAUGAGUAUCCACAUGAGAACAUUGCACUGUUGCGAAUCCUAUGUUUCUUUAAGGGAACAUUUGAUUCCUAUGUUCGAUUUCCUGGCUCUAGUGAAUGUUCAUAAAAUAUCAAAGUUAGAAUAAGAUGGUGAAUGUUAUUCAGAUUUGCAAAGAUAAUUGAAUAAUGGCCACAUCACUGCUCCCAGCAAAAUAAAUGAACUACAUAUUAAGGGUAAGCAACAGAAAGUGGUACUUUUCUGAUAUAUUCAGCCCGUACAAACUAUUUCCUGCUGUCUGUUAUAAUUUUCCCUCAGAAUAAUAGGGGAAAGUCCAACUGAUAAUAUGACGGUUCACUUAAACACAUUUCGUUAGACGAAAUAUCUAGCUUUAUUAUUCACUUCAAAACUUUUCGAACUGUAUGGCAUAACACAAUUACAAAAUAAAAUUUGAAAUCAAAUAUAUUUAUAUGAUGUAACGACCGGUACCUCGUAAUAUAUCUCAGCUUGAUCAAACCUGUUCUGAAUAUGAUAGUAUUGUCCAACAUUACGCAAAGUUGUUCCAACCCUACAAGAGGUAGUAAAACAUGUUUUGUGCAGACCAAGUUAACGUAGGGGAUUUAUAUGAAAUAUCAUAAGAAUUGACAAGUGUACGCCAGAGUGAUCAGGAUAUAAUAUUUAGUUCUCUACUAUAGAAAGACACAAGUGUACGCCAUUCUUCCACUCAAACAACAGUUCACACCGAGCAGGCAUAGAUGCAUAGCACGCACCAUGGAAUGGAAACUUAUAUCAUGUUACCUAUGCAUCCCACUAUCCACUCUAUUUUAACCCUAAAAAAUAGCCAUAUGUUCGCUCGUACAAAAUGAACCGAAUCAGAAAAUACUGAAAAAAUGAUAUGGAAAAGAAAUCUAAUCUCAAACUUACAGUACAGUAUAUCAGUAGGUUCAAAUGAUUUCUCCAGGAUUUCAAUUGCUUCGAGAUAUAAUUGUUCAGCUUUCCUAUACAACUCCACCUGCAAUACUGAAAACAGAGGAAAGAAAAGGAAUGACUCUUCAGGCAAAACCAGUAUUUAAGAUAGCUUUAUGAAAGCCCACCACAUGACAGGAUGUGGCCUGGCCUUUUAAAUUCGUGUACUGAAACCAUUGAGUGACAAUGUGUGAAAUGCAACCCAUACAAACCUAACGUACUGGGAAAACAUAGUGAUACAUUAGUAUUUUAGUGCGUGAUGUAUUGAUGCCAAGAAGUCCGGUCAUUCAGAGUUGUUUGGACGAGGUUACUGUGGUGUAAUGGACAAUCACUUGAUAGAAAGCAAAGAUUGGACACUAAUACUGAACCCCCUGCUAGAAUUUACUUCUGUAGAUAAUAGGGUCAUGCAGGGCCGGGCCCAUAGUGGUGCGAACUGUGCGGCCCGCACAGGGCCCAUAAAUUUGAGGGGCCCCAGAAAAUUUACAUGUCUAUGUACAUAUUAUUCCUGGGGUUGGGCCGCGCAUGGAGUUGGGCCUCUGCCCGCUGGCGCGUGACUCCCAGGCCGCUGCUCGAUGCCUCGAUUGCGGGAUGCCAGACGCCAGGGCAUGUUGAUCUGCUCGAUACCUCAAUCUCCCCUAAAAAAACUGAUCUGCUCGAUCAGAAACCAAAGGGCGGUGUCCAGUUCUGCUCGAUCGGUUGCAUCCAGCAUCAAUGGGCGGGCGACACGGUGCAUGCGCAUCCUCCAGACUUCCAGAUCCGGCGACGCCGCAACGGACGAUCGACACGGUGAAAGGUAUAGUCAGAGACAGGAUUAGGAGACGUAGUAUGCUAGAUUUGUCAUUGCAAAUCCAGUAAAGUCCUCAUUGGUUUAAAACUUCGCGUCCAUCGAUAAAUCCUCUUGUGUUCUUGGGUUCUCAGAGGGUUAGAGAGGAAUACUGCUGGCUUUUACUCCUAAUUCUACUCCUAUUAUCUUAAUUUCUGUUUUCUAAUUAACUUUUCGCAGGGAUCAUUAGAGAGAUAGAUUCUUGCAUGAUUGCCUCCUCGAUUAAAGAUCACCGUAUAGCAGUUCAACCGGAUAGGACACGAGACUAGGUGAGUAAGACGGUUCGUCUAAUUGCCAAACAUUGACAUAUAAUCUCCAAUUGAUAUCUGCUGCCAUAUCACUUGAAUUUUUUUUUAUUCUUUGGUAUCUCAUGUUUCAGUACUACAGAAUUUUUAUGUCAGACAAUAUAUCACAUACUCCCUCUUUAAACAAAUAUAAAAGCGUUUAGAUCAUUAAAUGCUCUUAUAUUUCUUUACGGAGGGAGUACUUUAUAAUUGCUCGAUAGUUUAUCUUUCUAGUGAGAUAGGGCCCCAUUUUUUAGUUUCGCACAGGGCCCCGGAUUUUGCCGGCCCGGCCCUGGGGUCAUGCCCUUUGUCUUGACUAAAUCUAUUUGUGGAGACUGCACACUUGGUUUGAACCAUUUCUUCAGAGCAUAAACCUAUAUGGAAAAAAACUCAGCUACAUAUAAAAAUAUAGAUCAGGACAAUCAUUGCUAUAACGACCAUUGUAUACUCCAAAUGAAAAUAGAAAUCUUCUCCAUUAGUCGUACUAUGAAGUACUAACGAGAUUAUGAAGAUCACCUGCCAACAGCUUGGGUGCAUAACACAUUCAGAUUCUUCAUGAAUCGUCAGUGUUGGAGGAGGUAGCCGAGGUAGAGGAUGACAGUCGAAGCCGAUCCGGCGGCAGCAUAUGAAGAUACACGGAGGUAGUGGGCCUAUGAACCCGAGGAGGCGUAGGAGUCGUGCCGCCCGUGCCAACUAGGGUUGCUGUAGGAGCAUGUUCAGGGGCGCCGAGGAUGCUGCGGCGGGGGAGGAUCCGAGGAGACCAGCGGAGCCGACAGUUGAGUGGUGGCGCAGUCGGGGCGGGGGGCAGGGGGCGCCGGAGCUAGCCAGAACCGACCUGCGGCGG